AGUGGAAUUGCUGGGUCAUAUGGUAAUUCUCUGUUUAGCUUUUUGAGAAACUGCCAAGCUGUUUUCCACAGUGGCAACACCAUUUUACAAUCCCACCAGCAAU
rnacentral:pre_miRNA from 1 species